CUGACACUGUGAAGUACACAGGUGAAGCUGAGACUACUGGACUUAAUGAACCAACCUAUUAUAGUAUUCACUGAAAACAAAAGAACAAACAUGCAGAGUAUACAACUUUGACUAGGCCUCUACAACAAAGAAGAGACUCGAACCCAAGCAUGGGGAGCACAACGGAGUAGAAGUCCAUUGCCUUAACCUCUCGUCCACCUCAUCAUGUUAAACACUUC